GGGGGUGUAGCUCAGUUGGUUAGAGUGCCGGCCUGUCACGCCGGAGGUCGCGGGUUCGUGCCCCGUCACUCCCGCCA
rnacentral:tRNA from 1 species